rnacentral:pre_miRNA from 1 species
CUUAAUUUAGGUUUGGGGCAUCCAACGGUCAUCGAGCAAAGUUAAUAGUUGACUUUGCUCUAUGUCCAUUGGAUGUUUCAAACCUGGAUAAGG